UACGGGGGGGGCAAGCGUUGUUCGGAAUUACUGGGCGUAAAGGGCUCGUAGGCGGCCAACUAAGUCAGACGUGAAAUCCCUCGGCUUAACCGGGGAACUGCAUCUGAUACUGGAUGGCUUGAGUUCGGGAGAGGGAUGCGGAAUUCCAGGUGUAGCGGUGAAAUGCGUAGAUAUCUGGAGGAACACCGGUGGCGAAGGCGGCAUUCUGGACCGACAUUGACGCUGAGGCGCGAAAGCCAGGGGAGCAAACGGG
rnacentral:rRNA from 1 species